rnacentral:rRNA from 1 species
GACGAACGCUGGCGGCGUGCUUAACACGUGCAAGUCGAACGGAAAGGCCCUGCUUUUGUGGGGUGCUCGAGUGGCGAACGGGUGAGUAACACGUGAGUAACCUGCCCUUGACUUUGGGAUAACUUCAGGAAACUGGGGCUAAUACCGGAUAGGAGCUCCUGCUACAUGGUGGGGGUUGGAAAGUUUCGGCGGUUGGGGAUGGACUCGCGGCUUAUCAGCUUGUUGGUGGGGUAGUGGCUUACCAAGGCUUUGACGGGUAGCCGGCCUGAGAGGGUGACCGGCCACAUUGGGACUGAGAUACGGCCCAGACUCCUACGGGAGGCAGCAGUGGGGAAUAUUGCACAAUGGGCGGAAGCCUGAUGCAGCAACGCCGCGUGCGGGAUGACGGCCUUCGGGUUGUAAACCGCUUUCGCCUGUGACGAAGCGUGAGUGACGGUAAUGGGUAAAGAAGCACCGGCUAACUACGUG